rnacentral:lncRNA from 1 species
AAAAUAAAUUUAGACGGCCCAAUUCUCACCCGGCUAAGAAGAACGAUGACCAUGAGCCAUCGGCAGGAUACGGCGAAAGUUCCAGCACCUCUUCUUCGCCAUUCAAGUAAAGUAUUUUUGUGCCAUUCUCGUCUACUGGAUCGGCUGUGAGGGUUUUGAUCGGAUGGUGCAAUGCUAGAACAUGCAUCGUCGACGAAUAGCUUUCUAGAAACUGGUUUGGGUAUCGGCGAGGUCACCUCUUCGUCACUUGAUCCGGCUUCUUUCUUAACGGUGGAAGAGUCCUCGAUUAGGAUGAGGGUAUGGGAAAGCUCAUUCUUCACGUCGUGCAUCCCAAACAAAUUGCACAUCUGUAAAAACUCCGGCUCACCUUCAUGGUAGUAUGCUCGCAAGAAAGCGUUUUCCUAUAAAAAAUAUACAUCAAACGAAGUAAUGACAUGGUAAACAAGUGAAAUAUUUAACUACAUGGCAUCCACACUUAACAUACCUUAAACAAACGUUUCCACACUUCGUCCACGGCGUGAACGACGUUGUUUCGUUCAUCGUAUUGGGUAUCCUUAGCGUUACACAAAUACUUGAAGGAGACAUAGCGAUCGUGAAGAAACGCAACUCGCCCCUCUACUUCAUUCAAGGACAUAUCCGCUUGUAGUUGAGAGUUUAGCGUCAACAUCGCAUGAAUUAGAGCGUGUGGCGAUAGAUGCGGUGGAGAUGGCCGGCAUUCUUCAAUUUUUUCUAUGAGACAAGCGAGGAGCAAUUUAUCCUUGCUCGAAUCCCACUUGCAAGGAUAGAGGUACAAUGCUUGAGAGCCUACCGGUGGGAAAGGCAUGUCGAGAGAGAAGAGAAUGAAAUGUUCAAAAAUGCCUACUCGAAAGUCUAUCUAUGCG